rnacentral:rRNA from 1 species
UACGCACGCUGGCGGCGUGCCUAAUACAUGCAAGUAGAACGCACAGUUUAUACCGUAGCUUGCUACACCAUAGACUGUGAGUUGCGAACGGGUGAGUAACGCGUAGGUAACCUGCCUGGUAGCGGGGGAUAACUAUUGGAAACGAUAGCUAAUACCGCAUAAUAUUGAUUAUUGCAUGAUAAUUAAUUGAAAGGUGCAAUUGCACCACUACCAGAUGGACCUGCGUUGUAUUAGCUAGUAGGUGAGGUAACGGCUCACCUAGGCGACGAUACAUAGCCGACCUGAGAGGGUGAUCGGCCACACUGGGACUGAGACACGGCCCAGACUCCUACGGGAGGCAGCAGUAGGGAAUCUUCGGCAAUGGACGAAAGUCUGACCGAGCAACGCCGCGUGAGUGAAGAAGGUUGUCGGAUCGUAAAGCUCUGUUGUAAGAGAAGAACGGGUGUGAGAGUGGAAAGUUCACACUGUGACGGUAUCUUACCAGAAAGGGACGGCUAACUACGUG